AGUGAACGCUGGCGGUAGGCCUAACACAUGCAAGUCGAACGGCAGCACAGUAAGAGCUUGCUCUUACGGGUGGCGAGUGGCGGACGGGUGAUGAAUACAUCGGAAUCUACUUUUUCGUGGGGGAUAACGUAGGGAAACUUACGCUAAUACCGCAUACGACCUACGGGUGAAAGCAUGGGAUCUUCGGACCUUGCGCGAUUGAAUGAGCCGAUGUCGGAUUAGCUAGUUGGCGGGGUAAAGGCCCACCAAGGCGACGAUCCGUAGCUGGUCUGAGAGGAUGAUCAGCCACACUGGAACUGAGACACGGUCCAGACUCCUACGGGAGGCAGCAGUGGGGAAUAUUGGACAAUGGGCGCAAGCCUGAUCCAGCCAUGCCGCGUGGGUGAAGAAGGCCUUCGGGUUGUAAAGCCCUUUUGUUGGGAAAGAAAAGCAGCAGGUUAAUACCCCGCUGUUCUGACGUUACCCAAAGAAUAAGCACCGGCUAACUUCGUG
rnacentral:rRNA from 1 species